UAAGUGGUAGAGUGGCCUUGC
rnacentral:misc_RNA from 1 species